rnacentral:rRNA from 1 species
UACGUAGGGUGCGAGCGUUGUCCGGAAUUAUUGUGCGUAAAGAGCUUGUAGGCUGUUUGUCGCGUCUGCCGUGAAAAUCCGGGGCUCAACCCCGGACUUGCGGUGGGUACGGGCAGACUAGAGUGUGGUAGGGGAGACUGGAAUUCCUGGUGUAGCGGUGAAAUGCGCAGAUAUCAGGAGGAACACCGAUGGCGAAGGCAGGUCUCUGGGACACUACUGACGCUGAGAAGCGAAAGCGUGGGGAGCGAACAGG